GUGGAGGUACAAGGACUUCCCAUAGCCUCACAGGCAACAAAUGGUAGAGCCAGUCUGAGCCAGCGGCAUGCUCCUGACCGCCGCAGUGACCCUUCCAGGAACGGCCUUCCAAGGCAGCCACGUUCUGGUCCCCAGAAUCUGUGGAUAUGUCACCUCAUGUAGCAAAAGGAACUGUGCAGAUGGGAUUAGGAAUCUUGAGGUGGGGAGAGGAUCCUGGAUCUCCUCAGUGGGUCCAGUGUCAUCACAAGGGUCCUGAGAGGAAGAGGGAGAUCAGAGUCAGAGACCGGAGGAGGCCGGGCUGCAGGUGCACUGAAGACGGAGGCGGGGCCCCCGACACUGGAGAAGAAGGGCAGUGGGCCCUCCGCUAGCGCCUCCAGCAAGAGCCGGCCCUGCCGACCCCUUGGCUUUAGCCCCUCAGGACCCCUGUCGGACUGUGGCCUCCACAAUCGUGAGAAUAAGUCAGGGUUGUUUUCAGCCACUCAGUUGUGGUCAUUCGUGACAACAGCCACCAGACACUCAUACAAUCACUGUGUUCUUGACCUUCGCGUGCCUCUCUCAUCUCACUUAAAGACAGUUCACCAAUUCCUGCCCUGCUUCUCCGCAGGCUAGGUACCCCCGUCUUCGUGGACACACAGUUGGCACCACCGUGCUGGCAGUGGGGAAGCCCCCUCCUCCACGGCUGUAAUCAGGAGGGAGGGGAGGAGGUUCCCAGGCUGUGCCUGUCUGUGGGGCUUGAGGCCUUCUCUAACUGGGCCCCUGCCCUCUGUGCUGUCUUCCCAUCAGGUUGGCACCCCCUGGCCUGAGCACUCCCUUCAAACGCACCCCCAGACUACAGGGGAGAACAGAUAGUGGCGGGUGUUGAAACUCUCUGCAGACAGAAACAGCAGGUUGCAGCCGACUGGUGACAGAGGCGGACUUGAGAAUCCAGCCACCUUCGAUUAAACCAGACAUUAAAGAGAUUUGCAAAAAAUGUUUUUAAAAUUUCUUGGGGGAGGCUUUGGAGAUUAUAAUCAUUUUCAUAAAGGUGCUAUAUAUGUUAACGUACAAAGGGCUUAUCAUUAUUUUUGUAUGAAUAAAUGUUUAAAGCUU